rnacentral:lncRNA from 1 species
CCCUCUGCAUUUGAAAAUUGCACCACCUCAGUGUUGCUUUUCUUUGGCCUUCUUAUUAUUGAUGAGAAGGAAGUUAUUUGGAUUAUUGAUGUAAUAAUAAGACUUUACAGCUAGAAUCAUUUGUGAGAUGAGCCCAAAGGUUCCGAGUGAGAGCUGCAGGGACCCUCUUGAGAGCUGAGGGCAGAAGUCAUUAGAGCAUGGACUUAAUGACUGGGACUUCUGGGACUCCCGGGCCAUUUACGCUUAUCUUGGAAUUCUCCACUAUGUUCUGGAUGAUGGGACUUGUUGGAAGUCUGACCUUUGGACAAAUCGGGUGGAAACGGAGCAGCUCUGACCUCCAGGGAACACGUUGUCAUGGCGACAGCAAGCUAUUAUUUUCCAAAGGCCAAGCUACCAGAACUCCGCCCCCUCCUCCCACCUCCUCAUCCUCCUCAUCUUGCCAGCCCUUUCUGGGAGCAGCGUUCAGUGACACACUCGCCUGAUGUCAGAGCCCAGCCUGCCACAGGGGACUGAGGAGUCAGGGUGGAACACACUUGUCCAUUUAUGGCACGGAACCCCUGAACCGGAACUGCCUCUCCUUUCCCCACUCCGGCUUCCCAGCCCAGCUGCCUUGGAGGAGAGGGACCCUUCUGCUCAGAAUUCAUCCUAAUAGUAACAAUAAGGAAAACUGACAUUUUAUAUAGUGUAUUAAUGUUUCCAGGAUUCGUCAUACGCAUGACCUCAUCUGAAUCUCACAACUGCUCUGGAUGAUAGCUUAUAGACAACAUUAUCCCCAUUUUAUAGAUAAGAAAACCAGCACGGAGACAUUGGUAGUAGGACACUCCAGAAAGAACUUCUGGAGUCAGAAUUCAGGCAUUUUCUCAGCCAUGCACGACACUUUGGGACCCCUUUGGGGAUUUUCCUGGCAAAGAUCCUGGAGUGGUUUGCCAUUUCCUUCUCUGAUUCAUUUUACAGAUGAAGAAAUUGAGGCAAACAGGAUUAAAUGACUUGCCCAGGGUCACUCAGCUAGUUAGUGUCUGAGACUGGAUUUGAACUCAAAUUUUCUCAAGUCCAGCUGCUCUGCUAAAUGGCACAAUGCUACAAUCCUAUUGUUUGCAUGAUCUUGGUCAAAUAAUGUCCAAUUCCCUUAGCCUUAGAUUCCUUAUCUUCAUAAUGAUAAAGUUGGACUAGAUAACCUUCAAGAUUCCUUUGAUCCUAUGACAUGCCUGGGCUCACAGCUCUUAUCAGGGUGGAAUUUGAACCCAGGAUUUCUUGAUUUUACAAUGAGCACUCUGGCCAUUGAUUAUAUACAUUGUUUAUCCUUUAAUAUUAAAAAUCACAUUUGGAUAUCUAUUUGUAGUUUGAAGGCAACUCUUCCUCCUAAUAAUCCUGUGAAGUAGGUAGGACAAUUCUGUGGGAUGGGCAAAGUUGUGGUUUUCUCCUUUUCUUGAAUAAUCCUGGGCAUAGAGAAUUUCUAGACAGC